AUACGUAGGGGGCGAGCGUUGUCCGGAAUGACUGGGCGUAAAGGGCGCGUAGGCGGCGCGGUAAGUCUGGAGUGAAAGUCCUGCUUUCAAGGUGGGAGUUGCUUUGGAUACUGCCGCGCUUGAGUGCAGGAGAGGUUAUCGGAAUUCCCGGUGUAGCGGUGAAAUGCGUAGAGAUCGGGAGGAACACCAGUGGCGAAGGCGGGUAACUGGACUGCAACUGACGCUGAGGCGCGAAAGUGUGGGGAGCAAACAGGAUUAGAUACCCUGGUAGUCCACACUGUAAACGAUGAAUGCUAGGUGUAAGAGGUAUCGACCCCUUUUGUGCCGGAGUCAACACAAUAAGCAUUCCGCCUGGGGAGUACGGCCGCAAGGUUGAAACUCAAAGGAAUUGACGGGG
rnacentral:rRNA from 1 species